rnacentral:rRNA from 1 species
UACGUAGGGCGCAAGCGUUGUCCGGAAUUAUUGGGCGUAAAGAGCUCGUAGGCGGCUUGUCACGUCGGGUGUGAAAGCCCGGGGCUUAACCUGGAGACGCCACCCGAUACUGCUGUGGCUAGAGUCCGGUAGGGGAGCGUGGAAUUCCUGGUGUAGCGGUGAAAUGCGCAGAUAUCAGGAGGAACACCAGCGGCGAAGGCGGCGCUCUGGGCCGGUACUGACGCUGAGGAGCGAAAGCGUGGGGAGCGAACAGGA